rnacentral:misc_RNA from 1 species
AAGUCGUAACAAGGUUUCCGUAGGUGAACCUGCGGAAGGAUCAUUACAGAGAGAGGUUUCACCGCCUCGGGGGGCUUCGGCCCCCAACUCUCCACCCCGUGCGUACCUUCUCUUCUGUUGCUUUGGUAGGCCUUUGAGGUCAAGCUCAUGCCGGCGCCGCCGGCGAGUGUCUGCCAGUAGCCCUUUCCGACUCGUUUUAUCAGUGACGUCCGAGUGCCAAUGUAAAUAAUCAAAA